CCUGGACUUGAGCUAGUCACUUUAUUUUCUGAGCUUCAGUUUGCUCACUGGACGAGUAGGAAAGUCAUUCCUGUCUGGCUUAACUAGAGGGCCUGUGGUGAGGCAUAAACUGGAGAAGAAAAUCAAACCAUCUGGUGAACUGUCAAGCUCAAUUUCCCUCUUUAAGGAAGAAAGGAAAGUGUUUUCCUGGAUACUAGAUAUGCUGAGUUGGGACAGGAGCUAAGGAUAGAGGUGAGGAAACCCGCAGACAACAGCGACAUGCUCCUCAUCUUUGAGUCCCAGCGAACCUUUCCACUGUGUGUGUGUGCUGGAAUGCAGUUAACUGAUCACCUGCAGGCUUGAACUCCAGGGUUCAAGCGAUCCUCCUACUUCAGCCUCCUGAGCAGCUAAGGACUACAGCACAUUAUGUUCCUGAAAACCAGGAACUGCUUCCUGUCUGACCCACUGCAGUGGUGGAGAGGAUCAAGGGAAAUAAUGAUCAUGGAUGUGCUUAGGAGACGUAAGAUUUUACUAAGAAUUGCUGUGAGCUGGGCACCCUUCUACGCUCUGCAGACACCAUGGCUAGUAAGACAGGCAAAGACCUGCCAUCUGGAGCUUGUUUGGAUAUAGGGUAGGGGGACGGGGAGAAGGGAGAUAAACAAUAAACAAGUAAAUUUACACUC
rnacentral:lncRNA from 10 species